UAUAAUAUAGUUCAGCGGUUCUCAACCUUUUCUUGGUCAGGUACCCCUUUUCGUUUUAUCCAAGCUGCUGGUACCCCUUAGCAUUCAUACACGAAAUUUUUUCGUCUAAUAAGGUUUUUUUUACAUUCUUGAUUUCAGAAUAUUUAUCAGCAGAAAUUUAAAACUUGAAUAGUUCCGUGGGCUUUGAUGAUGAAAGCUAGUCUUAAAGUCUUUACGCUUAAGGACGAUAAGAUUGGUUUUCCCAGGUCCUGUGGGUCGUCAGGACUUUGGCAGCCCUAAGGCGCUUGCCUCUGGGUGGCGGAUGGAGGAUAAAGGGAUGAGUUAACUGUAGUGACAGGCUGCAAGGGAUCCAGGGAGCGGCCGUGGCUUUGUAAGCGAAUGGUCCUGGGUUUCGAUGCCCAUCUGCUCCCAACGAGAAAGUUUAAGACUUAGAAAUAUUUGAAAUACUGAAUAUGAACGAAAAAUUGUAGUCGCUCAAGGCGGGGUUCGAUCCCCCGUCCUUUGAAUUGGCUAGGCCAUGACGACUUGGUGAACUUGGACUGGAAUUAGGAAUACUGUUACAGAGAGCGAGUUGUGGCGCUAUAACCACGGCAAAUAGUGUCCAGCCAGGGCAUUCGUGGAAAUACAAUAUCCCAUCCCAGAGGGUCCCGGAGUACCAAACCAUUGACUAAUUAAAGACUAAACACUCCGAACAUUUUUUUCAAAAAAAUAUGACUCAUAUGCUGUGAACCGCGUGAACCACGUUGAACCGCAUCGGCUUACCCCCCGUAUGACAGAUUUCCUUGGCCGCACUGCCUUUUUCAAUUUUGCUUUGUGCUGUUUUGCGCGCGUAUCGCAUCGAGGCGCGAUCGUGUUUGUUUUUGUUUUCGCAUCAGCUGUACGGCGGAAUUUUUGUUUUUGUUGCAGAACUCCUUCGAUUAUUAUUCAAACAAAAUGGUAAGAUUUAAGCGAGGGGCGUGACAAUCGAAAAUAAUUAAAUAAUUUAAUUAAUUAACUGCAGAAAUUAACGAAUUAACGCAAAAUUAAUUUUUGUUUACGAUCAAAACAUCGCCACCUCUUUUUACAUCUCAUUGAACCAGUUUGACAUUGCGAGCGUUUGUUUUUGUUGUUUUUGUUGUCAGAGAGAAGUGCCUACAGGAGAACGCGCAAAAAAAGAAAAAGAGACCGAGGACACGGUGAAGAAGGGAUUCCUGGGACCACUCCAGCUGCUCGGUAAAUAGCUUCAGCCAAGGCGCCCCCGCUGGUCGGCGGUCGAUUCAGAAGACGUUUCUGUGGAUGAGGCCAACAACAUGCAGGACAUUUGAGGAAUUCGCUGUCAUGUCCUUGACCACGCCCGUGCACCGGCCUCCCAGAUAAAUGGAGCGUGGUCAUUCGGUGCCCACUACCACCAAAACAAGUUGAAGGAACUUCAGUUGGAAAAGCAAUGCUCGAGUGAAGGCGUGAAAUGACCAGGCUGAAGAGUGCCGUAACCGUUCCUCAAGGACGUGUGCAAGAAGAAGGCUUCCCUACCAACGUAGACCCUGCGACCAAGAAGAACCGCAUCCGCGAGGGGAAGGCCCAACCUGGGGCUACCGCAGCCAAGUCGUCGACUUAUGUGUGGGUGUAUGUGUGUGUAUGUUACUGAUGUAAAUUUGUGGUUAAGUUUGAAUUGAAAAUAUAUAAAAUUUACAGCUUUUUGUCGAUGUUUUAAUCAAAUAUGCCGUUUCCCGAGCUGUUAUGUUAGAACCUGGUUUUAAAUUCCUUAGCCACAGAAAUGUCUUUUGAUGACCGUGACUUAGCAAAAUACAAUCAUAUUGUUACAAGUCUUUUUCAUUGUAAAUUUGAUUGUAAAUGAUGAUUGAUCUAAUCAACACUCUAGACAUCUUUUUUUAGUUUGAAUGAACUUUUCGAUUGAAGAUUUAAUUGAUACUAAACAACUUAGAGCUAUACCUUGGUUGGAAAUGUCCUGUAAGGUGGAGUUGGACAGCGUGCUAAUCAGGAGGGCUUGCGUCUAAGAAAAGCUUCAGCGUAUCCUGGUUCCGAUCGGUUCAAAUACGUUCGAUUCUACGACUUUCCCCGGGGUUCCGUGUACCGGAACCGGAAGCUUUCACACCGACCACCAUCGUGUUUAUUCCGGCAAGCACACAAGCCUUUUGCAAUCGUUGCUCUCGCGUGCUUAAUUUCUUGUGAAACCGGUAAUCGGAAGUACCAAGGGAUGUUACAUGACCGCAUGCAGCACCUGCUGAUCAACCCGGAACCGAUGCCGAAUGGCCAUUUGUUCCAUCGGCGACUUAUUACGAAAUCGACGGAAAUAGAAGGCAAAAUUAAAAUUAAAUUAAAAAAUUAUGGCGAUCAGCCUGAAAAACCUGUCGGUUGUUCCGGUUCUCCGAUAUUAUUGUACGAUCAGUUCCUACACACAAAAAAAUAUUAUGGUAAUGACAAAAGUAACUUACUUUUGAAUUAAAAAGUUGUUAAAAUUUGCUACAUUAAAAGUUUUUUUCUUGUUUUGAAAAUGAAAACUUUUACUGCUACAGUUUUUGAAAAUCUCAUUGCUCACUGAUUUAAAAGUUUUUACUUUUAAUUCGACUGUAAAAUUUCUUUCAUUUUGACGUUCUCGUGUAACCGUGUACGCCUAAGUCGCAAAUGUAAACAAACACUUUGGUGGGUCCGGUGGUGCUGGUGAGUCUAGGACGCAAAGCAAAGCCGACCGCGGCAGCAGCCAGGACUCGGACGCGGAAACCUUCGUGAGCCAAACAGCAGCAGCGGAACUCCUUCGAAGGAGGGUGGUGCAGGAGCGGGACGAGGUCGAGUGCUCGAAAAGGACAAGGCCAGCUUCCUGCAGGAACUGCAGCUGUUCCACGGCCGGAAUGCGAUGAGAGGUAGGAAUGUGGAUUCGCACCGGUUGUAUUGGGUGGUGGUGGCCCGGGAUUGGUGGUUGAGGGUCAAUUCGCGUGAGGACCGAGGCGAUAUCAUCGAGGAGAUGGCGCUGCCGAAGCGUUGCAUGAACAACGAGAUUGCGUUGAAGAAGAUUAACUUCCGGUUUUUGGACAAGUACGCGAAAGUUUAUUUUCACGAUGGGCCUCCGACGAAAAGGAGGACGACGAAAAGCUACAUAAUUGGAGGUGGUCAGCGCAGAUGUUGCACUCGGUGCCGGCGGUUUACAGCACCGCAACUUCCCGCCCACAAACACUCACGUCGCGACGGCGCAGCUUCAGCCGAAUGAAUCUGGACAGUGAGCCAAAAAAAAUCUGUGUCAUUCUCGAAGUAGGAUUACGUGCUCAAAAUCGAACUCCGUACCGAGGGCCUCAUCAACUCCAUGUUCCGGAUGCGCUUCCAGGAUCGGGAACUCCCCGUUCAGGCACUUUACUUUCCAGCCGGAAAACGUCGACCACCCUUCCCGAAUCAAUGGCCAAAUCCUCCAAGACUGUCCUUAUUGACGCCGGAAACGUGACCAUCGUGUUACACUGCUGUCGCGCGUUGAAGCCUCCAUCCGGAACCGUCCAGCCUGGGGUAUUCGAAAGUGACCGGUGGCGUACCGUAUGAAGCAGAAGCUAGUGGAGAAGCGUUAAAUACAAAAAAAGUGUUUUCCUAACAUACUGUUUAAUUAUUUUUUGUAAUAAAUGUAAAAAACCAAGCACAUUUUUCUAAAAUUAUCCCUGUAGUGCUAAAUGUUGUGUAUUCUUGCCAUAAAAGGUUUCUUUUACAAUUAAAAGUAAAAUACUUUUACCAAUACAACGAUUUUGUUCCAUAAAUGCAUGGUAGUAUCAAAAACUUUCCAACUUUUAAAUUGAAAAGUUUGAACUUUCUACGAAUAUUCACCAACGCGAACUUUUAAUCCAACGAACGAUCUUUUUAAAUUUAGAGUAAUUUUUCUUUGUGUGUAGCUGGACUCGGUCACUGGAAACGACCGACGGCUCAGUGACCGACGAAAUAGGCGGCGGGCCAGAUGCGGGCAUAAAAAUGUCAAAAUCUCUUCCCCCUCACUUCGUCUUACCAUCCAGCUGCAGCUUUGUUGGCAAACGGAGCACGCGGUCGCAUGAUGGCGGCAUCGAGCCAGAAUUAGGGGUGAUCAUGUGAUUAAAAAUGAAAGUUUUUUCAAGAAAAAUAAUAAUUUUUCCGACCGAAUUAAAAAAUUGCGAGCAUGUUCAAACAAUUAUUCCUGAUGUCGGAGAAGUGAUAAAAAAGCAAAAUUUUAAUCCAUAAUUUUUCUAUAAAUUGAAUUUUUUCACUCCAACUGGGAACCCCUAGAUCUAUCCACGACCGUUUCCAAUGACCGUGAGAAGAUGCCAGAAAAUCCAGCUACGAGCUAAAUCCACAAUAU